CUAGCUUGCUGGGGGUACUCGAGUGGCGAACGGGUGAGUAACACGUGGGUGAUCUGCCCUGCACUUCGGGAUAAGCUUGGGAAACUGGGUCUAAUACCGGAUAUGAACGGUCUUUGGUGUGAUUGUUGGAAAGAUUUUUUCGGUGUGGGAUGAGCUCGCGGCCUAUCAGCUUGUUGGUGGGGUAAUGGCCUACCAAGGCGUCGACGGGUAGCCGGCCUGAGAGGGUGUACGGCCACAUUGGGACUGAGAUACGGCCCAGACUCCUACGGGAGGCAGCAGUGGGGAAUAUUGCACAAUGGGCGCAAGCCUGAUGCAGCGACGCCGCGUGGGGGAUGAAGGCCUUCGGGUUGUAAACUCCUUUCGCUAGGGACGAAGCCUUUUUAAGGUGACGGUACCUGGAUAAGAAGCACCGGCUAACUACGUGCCAGCAGCCGCGGUAAUACGUAGGGUGCAAGCGUUGUCCGGAAUUACUGGGCGUAAAGAGCUCGUAAGUGGUUUGUCGCGUCCUCUGUGAAAUUCCGGGGCUUAACUCCGGGCGUGCAGGCGAUACGGGCAUAACUUGAGUGCUGUAGGGGAGACUGGAAUUCCUGG
rnacentral:rRNA from 1 species